GUCAUCCUCUUCUUGGGGUUGUGCUGCUGUUCGAUGAGCAUGUAGUGAGGGCAGUCCUGCUAACUCCUACACAACACGUUCACCUAGGAUAGAGCUCUGCUUACCUUGGUGCAAUUUUUUGAAAA